rnacentral:lncRNA from 1 species
GCUCAGAGAACCUAAGAAUGAGCUUCAGCAAGGACAGGAACUCUGAACCAUCCAGAAUCUAGACAGCAAGAACUCAUAGUCCACUUAGGGUGCUGCCACUGAGAUUCAGAUUUCCUGGAGAGAGAGUCCAGUUGGCCUCUGAGUUAGGUGCCCUGAUUUCGACAAGGGAGGACUAUGCGCCUUGACUCUAAAGUCUCCCUAAGACUACAUGCAAAGCAGCUGAACAGUUCUUGAAAGUAAAAUGAAAUGCACUGCCAGAUGAAGACAAUUCAGGACAGUCAAAUACAACAAUGUGCUCUACAAAAUUUAAACAGCUUAAUCUUAGAAAAAUAAGAUAAAUCAAUCAAUGGCUCAAGUCCCCCAGUGGUGUGGGCAUGGAGGCCCCAACUGCCAUUUCCCUCCUUACACCCCUCCCAAUGGGUGACAGUUGGAAAGUAACUAGAGGCAAAGGAUACGGAUUAUGCAAAGAAGGAAGGAGAGUCUGAGAAGAAGGGCUUUUUUGGAAGGAGGGUUGCCAGGCCUGGAACAAGCACAUGCCUAGAGGAAAAUCCCAUACUACAUACAAGGAGGAAGCCCAGGCCAGCAGCCGUUUUGCCUCAACUUGCGCACUCAUUUCAACAUUUCUCAUCUAUAAGCAAGGACACCUCUGGAAGACGCAAGGCCUGUCAAUGAAUACUCAGAUCAAGUGUCUGUCUGGAAAGCUGGCAGUCUUCCAGAAAUACAAUUAGGGCCCAUUCCAGUGGAACAGAAGUGCUACUUUGGGGGUGGACUGAAACAAGUUGCUGGGCUUCCAUUGGCCAUUGCCACUUGCUUGUCGUUGUGAGGAGGGGCCGUGCCUCCACAGGCCCAUACCUGUAACCUGACGAUACUGUUGUGAGCGGGAAUGGAGGAAGUGCAUGGAAGCCCCUCAGCACGAUGCAUAGUGAACAGACAAGCUGUGAACCUUGGGAGUUAUCACCAUGUGUGAUGAUGCUGGUGAAGAAAGCCUGCACUGAGGAGGCUGUCAGCCUGGGUUUGAAUCCCCUCAUUUGGAAUAUAAUCUUGGCAAAGUCUGAAAGCCUCAAUUGCUCGUUUGUAAAACUGG